UACGAAGGGGGCUAGCGUUGCUCGGAAUGACUGGGCGUAAAGGGCGCGUAGGCGGCUCAUACAGUCAGGCGUGAAGUUCCUGGGCUCAACCUGGGGACUGCGCUUGAGACGUGUGGGCUUGAGUGGGGAAGAGGGUCGUGGAAUUCCCAGUGUAGAGGUGAAAUUCGUAGAUAUUGGGAAGAACACCGGUGGCGAAGGCGGCGACCUGGUCCUUGACUGACGCUGAGGCGCGAAAGCGUGGGGAGCAAACAGG
rnacentral:rRNA from 1 species